rnacentral:rRNA from 1 species
GACGGGGGGGGCAAGUGUUCUUCGGAAUGACUGGGCGUAAAGGGCACGUAGGCGGUGAGUCGGGUUGAAAGUGAAAGUCGCCAAAAAGUGGCGGAAUGCUCUCGAAACCAAUUCACUUGAGUGAGACAGAGGAGAGUGGAAUUUCGUGUGUAGGGGUGAAAUCCGUAAAUAUACGAAGGAACGCCAAAAGCGAAGGCAGCUCUCUGGGUCCCUACCGACGCUGGGGUGCGAAAGCAUGGGGAGCGAACAGG